CGAUGCAACGCGAAGAACCUUACCUGGUCUUGACGAUCCCGGAGACCCUUAGGAAACUAGGGGUGCUUCCAUCUGGAAGAAUCUGGAGACAGGUGCUGCAUGGCUGUCGUCAGCUCGUGUCGUGAGAUGUUGGGUUAAGUCCCGCAACGAGCGCAACCCUUGCCUUUAGUUGCCAGCAGUUCGGCUGGGCACUCUAAAGGGACUGCCGGUGUUAAACCGGAGGAAGGUGGGGAUGACGUCAAGUCCUCAUGGCCUUUAUGACCAGGGCUACACACGUACUACAAUGGCCGAUACAAAGGGCAGCGACACUGCGAGGUGAAGCCAAUCCCGUAAAAUCGGUCUCAGUCCGGAUUGGAGUCUGCAACUCGACUCCAUGAAGUUGGAAUCGCUAGUAAUCGUGGAUCAGCAUGCCACGGUGAAUACGUUCCCGGGCCUU
rnacentral:rRNA from 1 species